rnacentral:rRNA from 1 species
AAUCAACGCUGGCGGCGUGCCUCAGACAUGCAAGUCGAACGAUUAAACUUCCCUUCGGGGAAGAUAUAAAGUGGCGCACGGGUGAGUAACACGUAGGUAAUGUACCUUUGGGUGGGGAAUAACUUAGGGAAACUUAAGCUAAUACCGCAUAAUGCAGCGGCUCCUUCGGGAGACAGUUGUUAAAGAUUUAUCGCCUAAAGAGCAGCCUGCGGCAGAUUAGCUAGUUGGUAAGGUAACGGCUUACCAAGGCUACGAUCUGUAUCCGACCUGAGAGGGUGGUCGGACACACUGACACUGAAUAACGGGUCAGACUCCUACGGGAGGCAGCAGUCGGGAAUUUUGGGCAAUGGGCGAAAGCCUGACCCAGCAACGCCGCGUGAAGGAUGAAGUCUUUCGGGAUGUAAACUUCGUAAGAAUAGGAAGAAUAAAUGACGGUACUAUGUGUAAGGUCCGGCUAACUACGUG